AGAGGGUGUUGAUUUUAUUAUAACUAUACCAGAACAAUUAAUGAACCUACACCAUACACCAUACUGUCUUUUCUUCUCCCCCACCUGUACCUUCACCACUAACCCACUGCUCUUCUUACUAUACUUUGCUUAAAAUAAUAUUGAUGAUGAUGAUGAUUGUGUGGGUGCUGGGUGAUCGCGAGCAUGCCAUUUUUUGUGUUUUUAUGAUGCUGUUGAUUGUUAAUGCUGUGUUACUGUUACUGAUAUUUGAUAUUAUUUGGUUAUUGUUAAGAUUUUUCUUUAUCUCUCUCCCUUCAGCUUCUCUCUUGGAUGCCACGACAGUGAUGCCAACGGCGCACAGCGAUGUCUGACGAGUGACCGAUUAUACGUCCGUGAUAAUAUACCGACCGAUUAUACAGGUGAGCUGAGGAUCUUGACUCACCUGAGCAUUGGUGGCGCUUGUGCACCAUGAACAAGUCCAGCGAGGAGAACUGUUUCUUACAGCGACCACACUGGAACAAGUCAUCCUCGUCCAGCGUGACUCCCUCGCCUGUCAAC